AAUAUUGCACAAUGGGGGAAACCCUGAUGCAGCGACGACGCGUGAGCGAAGAAGGCCUUCGGGUCGUGAGGCUCUGUCCUAAGGGAAGAAACGGACGGGUCCUUAGGAGGAAGCCCCGGCUAACUACGGCCCAGCAGCCGCGGUAAUACGUAGGGGGCGAGCGUUGUCCGGCAUUAUUGGGCGUAAAGUGUGCGUAGGCGGCCUUUUAAGUCAGAUGUGAAAGCCCACGGCUUAACCGUGGGACUGCAUUUGAAACUGGAGGGCUUGAGUAUCGGAGAGGGUAGUGGAAUUCCCAGUGUAGCGGUGGAAUGCGUAGAUAUUGGGAGGAACACCAGUGGCGAAGGCGACUACCUGGACGAAAACUGACGCUGAGGCACGAAAGCUAGGGGAGCAAAC
rnacentral:rRNA from 1 species